GCACCGUUGGUCUAAUGGUUAGGAUAUCUGCCUUCCAAGCAGAUGGUCCGGGUUCAAUUCCCGGACAGUGCA
rnacentral:tRNA from 1 species